CUUCUCUCUGGGUCGCAUCUGGAGAGUUUUGAUUACUCUACCAGUCUCGACUACAGGAGGGCGAGUCAAGCAGAGGCAUUCCAUUCUUAGCUUGGCCAGUGGCUAGCGAGUGGAAGGCAAUCUGCUUCAAGA